rnacentral:misc_RNA from 1 species
GAUGAAGAACGUAGCGAAAUGCGAUAAGUAAUGUGAAUUGCAGAAUUCAGUGAAUCAUCGAAUCUUUGAACGCACAUUGCGCCCGCCAGUAUUCUGGCGGGCAUGCCUGUUCGAGCGUCAUUUCAACCCUCAAGCCCCCGGGCUUGGUGUUGGGGAUCGGCGUGCCCUCGCGGCGCGCCGUCCCCUAAAUCUAGUGGCGGUCUCGCUGUAGCUUCCUCUGCGUAGUAGCAACACUCGCACUGGAUCGCAGCGCGGCCACGCCGUUAAACCCCCCACUUCUGAAAGUUUGACCUCGGAUCAGGUAGGAAUACCCGCUGAACUUAAGCAUAUCAAUAAGCGGAGGG